GAUGAACGCUAGCGGCAGGCUUAAUACAUGCAAGUCGAGGGGCAUCAAGGUACACGAAAGUGGGUAUUGGUUGGCGACCGGCGGACGGGUGAGUAAUAUAUCGGAACGUGCCCAGUCGUGGGGGAUAACGUAGCGAAAGCUACGCUAAUAACCGCAUACGAUCUACGGAUGAAAGCGGGGGAUCGCAAGACCUCGCGCGAUUGGAGCGGCCGAUAUCAGAUUAGCUAGUUGGUGGGGUAAAAGGCUCACCAAGGCGACGAUCUGUAGCUGGUCUGAGAGGACGACCAGCCACACUGGAACUGAGACACGGUCCAGACUCCUACGGGAGGCAGCAGUGGGGAAUUUUGGACAAUGGCGCAAGCCUGAUCCAGCAAUGCCGCGUGCAGGAUGAAGGCCUUCGGGUUGUAAACUGCUUUUGUUACGGACGAAACGGUGAGCUCUAUAAAGACUUGCUAAUGACGGUACCGUAAGAAUAAGUCACCGGCUAACUACG
rnacentral:rRNA from 1 species